rnacentral:rRNA from 1 species
GUGGGUAGCGGAGAAAUUCCAAUCGAACUUGGAGAUAGCUGGUUCUCUCCGAAAUAGCUUUAGGGCUAGCCUCGUGAUGAGAAUACUGGAGGUAGAGCACUGUUUGGACUAGGGGGCCAUCCCGGUUUACCGAAUUCAGACAAACUCCGAAUGCCAGAUAUUUAUACACGGGAGUCAGACUGCGAGUGAUAAGAUCCGUAGUCAAAAGGGAAACAGCCCAGACCACCAGCUAAGGUCCCAAAGUAAUCGUUAAGUGGAAAAGGAUGUGGCGUUGCACAGACAACCAGGAUGUUGGCUUAGAAGCAGCCAUCAUUUAAAGAGUGCGUAAUAGCUCACUGGUCGAG